ensembl:lncRNA
GGGAAAGCUGAGGUGGGGCAGUUGUAAAGGCGGAGGACGCCGCGGCGUCAGAACGAUGGAAUUCUCGGAAAGAGGGGAAAGCGGUACCUCUCUACACUCGGAUAAGAGUGAGCCCUGCUCAAGAGGCCUCUUAGUGACCUCCGAUAUUCGAAGUCCAAAACCGGCCUUCAGUACCCGGCCUUGUAGCGCGGCGUGGAGGCCCAACGAAUGCCUCGUUUCCAGCACGCGGUGUUGUAUGCGGGCCUCUCACUGCUGUGGCCUCUCCCGUUGCGGAGCACAGGCUCCGGACGCGCAGGCCCAGCGGCCAUGGCUCACGGGCCAAGCCGCUCCGCGGCAUGUGGGAUCUUUCCCGGACCGGGGCACGAACCCAUGUCCCCUGCAUCGGUAGGCGGACUCUCAACCACUGCGCCACCAGGGAAGCCCUAAAAAUUUUUUUUUUAACUUUUUAUUUUAUAUUGGGGUAUAGCCGAUUAACAGUGUUGUGAUUGUUUCAACAAUUUUUAUUAUUCAGCAUAUAAGCUCAAGCAGGGAAAAAAUAUAGGUCAUAAAACUUAUCAAUUAGCCAACUCAUUAAUAGGACCAUUUUCUUUUAAAAUUUUAUUUAUUCAUCUGGUUCAAAGUUCAAAAGGUACAAAUGGGCAUAUGGUGAAGUCACCCUCCUGUUUCUGUUUCCUAGCUACCCACUUCCCCUUUCCAGUGGCAAACGUUGUUAUUGGUUUUCUAUAUAUCCUUCCAGAUAUAUUUUAUUCAUGUCUAAGCAAUUAUAUUUUUUCCUCUUUUACACAAAUGGUAACACAAUAUAAGCACUGUUUUAUAUUUUUCCUUAAAAUUUUUUUUUUUUACUAUACAUCUUGGAGAACCUUCCAAAUCAGUGUAUAAUGUGCUUCCUUUUAUGGCUAUGUAGUAUUCCAUUGUCUGGAUGUAUCAUUAUUAUUUUAAAAAUCCCCUAUUGGUGAAUAUUUGUAUUGUUUUCCAUCUUUUGUUAUUAUUAGAAUGACUUCAUUUCCUGGUUUGUUUGGGACAGUCUCAGCUAUGCCAAUUGUCCCAGCUUAAAUUUUUUUUUCUUUAUUGGAGUAUAAUUGCUUUACAAUGAUGUGUUAGUUUCUGCUUUGUAACAUAGUGAAUCAGCUAUACAUAUACAUAUAUCCCCAUAUCUCCUCCCUCUUGCGUCUCCCUCCCACCCUCCCUAUCCCACCCCUCUAGGUGGUCACAAAACACCAAACUGAUCUCUUUGUGCUAUGCUGCUGCUUCCCACUAGCUAUCUAUUUUACAUUUGGUAGUGUAUAUAUGUCCAGCUUAAAUAUUAAUAGUGUCCCUUUCUCUUAUAAAAGUGUCCCGAUUUGGACAAAACAAAACAAUUUAUUUUAUGGUUACCUUAGCUAAUACAAUGCUGCAGUGAAUAAGAUUAUAUAUCCUUUUAUUUUGCAAGUUUGCAAAUAUAACUGUAAGUUGAAUCCUAGAAGUAGCAUUGCUGAGUCCAAGAGCCCGCAUGCAACAACGAAGACCCAACGCAGCCAAAAAUAAAUAAAUAAAUUUAUUUUAAAAAAAAAAGGUAUAUACAUUUGUAAUUUUGAUAGAUGUUGCCAUAUUGCCUUCCAUAUUGGUCAUACCAUUUUCCAGUCUCACCAACAAUCAGAAGAGUACUUGUUUUUCCACCCUUACCUCACUUCAUUAUCACUUUGUUUUUUAAUGUUUGUUUUUCC